rnacentral:rRNA from 1 species
GACGAACCGUGCGAACGUUAUUCAGAAUCACUGGGCUUAAAGGGCGCGUAGGCGGGCGGUCAAGUCAGAGGUGAAAUCCCACGGCUCAACCGUGGAAGUGCCCCUGAUACUGGCCGUCUCGAGGGAGGUAGGGGCGUGCGGAACUUCCGGUGGAGCGGUGAAAUGCGUAGAUAUCGGAAGGAACACCGGUGGCGAAAGCGGCGCGCUGGAUCUCUACUGACGCUGAGGCGCGAAAGCGUGGGGAGCAAACAGG